GGUGAACGCUGGCGGCGUGCCUAAUACAUGCAAGUCGAGCGAACAGACGAGGAGCUUGCUCCUCUGACGUUAGCGGAGGACGGGUGAGUAACACGUGGAUAACCUACCUAUAAGACUGGGAUAACUUCGGGAAACCGGAGCUAAUACCGGAUAAUAUAUUGAACCGCAUGGUUCAAUAGUGAAAGACGGUUUUGCUGUCACUUAUAGAUGGAUCCGCGCCGCAUUAGCUAGUUGGUAAGGUAACGGCUUACCAAGGCAACGAUGCGUAGCCGACCUGAGAGGGUGAUCGGCCACACUGGAACUGAGACACGGUCCAGACUCCUACGGGAGGCAGCAGUAGGGAAUCUUCCGCAAUGGGCGAAAGCCUGACGGAGCAACGCCGCGUGAGUGAUGAAGGUCUUCGGAUCGUAAAACUCUGUUAUUAGGGAAGAACAAAUGUGUAAGUAACUAUGCACGUCUUGACGGUACCUAAUCAGAAAGCCACGGCUAACUACGUG
rnacentral:rRNA from 1 species